GAUGAACGCUGGCGGCGUGCCUAAUACAUGCCAGUCGAGCGAUGAAGAUUGGUGCUUGCACCAAUUUGAAGAGCAGCGAACGGGUGAGUAACGCGUGGGGAAUCUGCCUUUGAGCGGGGGACAACAUUUGGAAACGAAUGCUAAUACCGCAUAACAACUUUAAACAUAAGUUUUAAGUUUGAAAGAUGCAAUUGCAUCACUCAAAGAUGAUCCCGCGUUGUAUUAGCUAGUUGGUGAGGUAAAGGCCCACCAAGGCGAUGAAACAUAGCCGGCCUGGGAGGGGUGACGGGCCACAUUGGAAUUGAGAACCGCUCAAGCCCCUUAGGGGGGGAACAGGAGGGAAACAUUGGCAAAGGACGAAAGUCUGGCCGGGCAACGCCGGGUGGGUGAAGGAGGUUUUCGGAACGUAAAACUCUGUUGGUAGAGAAGAACGUUGGUGAGAGUGGAAAGCUCAUCAAUUGACGGUAACUACCCAGAAAGGGACGGCUAACUACGUG
rnacentral:rRNA from 1 species